GACGAACGCUGGCGGCGUGCCUAAUACAUGCAAGUCGAGCGGACAGAUAAGGAGCUUGCUCCUUUGAAGUUAGCGGCGGACGGGUGAGUAACACGUGGGCAACCUGCCCUGUAGAUUGGGAUAACUCCGGGAAACCGGGGCUAAUACCGAAUAAUACUUUUUAACUCAUGUUAGAAAGUUGAAAGAUGGUUCUGCUAUCACUACAGGAUGGACCCGCGGCGUAUUAGUUAGUUGGUGAGGUAACGGCUCACCAAGACGAUGAUACGUAGCCGACCUGAGAGGGUGAUUGGCCACAUUGGGACUGAGACACGGCCCAAACUCCUACGGGAGGCAGCAGUAGGGAAUCUUCCGCAAUGGACGAAAGUCUGACGGAGCAACGCCGCGUGAGUGAAGAAGGUUUUCGGAUCGUAAAACUCUGUUGUCAGAGAAGAACAAGUCGGAGAGUAACUGCUCCGGCCUUGACGGUAUCUGACCAGAAAGCCACGGCUAACUACGUGCCAGCCGCCGCAGUAAAAC
rnacentral:rRNA from 1 species